CUUACACCGCAAUCUAUAUGCAUCUUGUGCUCUCCAUCCCAACCAUCUAAACUUUUUCGCUUGCAUUGCUUGUGCCAAGGUCUAGCAAUGCUGAUGAAACAGCAAUUGAAGGCAUCUAAUAUAUGGUGCAUAACUGAACUUUAUAUUGCCACAGUGUUCCUACAUUGAAGUAUAAAUAACAAUUUAUUGUUGUUCAUAUAAGGGA
rnacentral:lncRNA from 1 species